UUUUGAGAGGGGUGGGAGGAAGGAUGGGGGAACACCUCUCCCUCUCCCUCUUGGGGACAUCAGCCUUCCUCUCACAGAGAAAUGCCUCUCCUUGACAGGUUUUCCAUCCUUAGUGCUCAGUAUAUAUUGUGCAGAGUCAAGUGGAGAAGUGAUGGAUCUGCACAUUGAAACUUCAGUGCAAAGGAAGUGGAACAAACUCUUUCUGAGUCCAACUCCUUCAAUUUCAGAGGUCUUCCAGCAGCCAAUGGUGCCAUUCCCCUGAAUUCUGAAGAAUGAUGCCAUGUUCAACCAACUGCAGAAGCAAGAGGUGGAAGAGUGGUGCUGUGGGAACGGAUUUGAAGGGAGCUUGGAAGAGACAGUACCUGAAGCCCAGUAAUUCUGACCCUUCGGUGCAGAAUGAAAGGAGGAAGAAGGGUGUGCUAUGACUGGACAGUGAGUUCCACCUGAAGUCUGUGUUUCCACUCAUCCAGAGUGGUUCUGAGUUUGUGGAGAUUUCUGAAAGGCCA
rnacentral:lncRNA from 1 species